rnacentral:rRNA from 1 species
GACGAACCGUGCGAACGUUGUUCGGAUUCACUGGGCUUAAAGGGCGCGUAGGCGGGCACGCCAGUCGGGAGUGAAAUCCCCCGGCUCAACCGGGGAACAGCUCCCGAUACUGCGUGCCUCGAGGGGGGUAGGGGUCGACGGAACUUCCGGUGGAGCGGUGAAAUGCGUAGAUAUCGGAAGGAACGCCGGUGGCGAAAGCGGUCGACUGGACCCCUUCUGACGCUGAGGCGCGAAAGCCAGGGGAGCAAACGGGAUUAGAUACCCCGGUAGUCCUGGCCCUAAACGAUGGGUACUAGGUUGUGGACUUGACAUGGGUUCACAGCCGAAGCAAAAGUGCUAAGUACCCCGCCUGGGGAGUAUGGUCGCAAGGCUGAA